AUGAGCAUUGAGGGUGAAAAGAUGCUAGACCAUGCCCUAGCAGGUCCCUGUACUGCUGCCACCUCUGCUCCAACCUUGGCCAUCUUUGAGUUCCAGAACUGCCCAGUGCAGCAAAACAGCCGUGGGCAUGGCUGUCGUGGCCGAGUCUACUGCAGCACCUUCACGAGGGAGCACUCCUCCUCUGAGGAACUCGAGGAAGACACUGAGACCAUGGUCAACUUCCUCAAGGAAGAUGACAAUGCUAGGGAGUCCCCUGAGCUGGGUGCCUAUGCAAGGAGGUUUACCACUGAGGUUGUCAUGGAGAAACUAGAGGAGAAGCUCAGCGAGAUGAAGGGGCAAGAGGCUGGUAGGGGGCCCGAGGUGUCCAGCCAGGCCAGACAGCCCCAGGAGCCUCGGUUGGAAAUGGGGGCAGCAGAGGCAGAGGGCAAGGCCAGCAAGCUCUACAAUGGAGUCUGUGGUGCUCAGGUAAAUUGUACUAGGCCCCGAAGAUGCUAGAAAUCCGCAAGAACAUUGGAGACUACUGGAAGCUCCGGGAACCAGGAAACAAGCCAGUUAAUGAAGUAAGACCCCUUUCUUAGUUUCUUUUGAACUUGCCUGUUCUCUAGCACCAUUUAUCUCCUCUAAGCUUCUCUCUUCCUAGACAUAUUGCAAGUAUUCAAACUUCCACCAUGUGGAAUGGAAGCAAUUUUUAAAAUGGGUUUCUGAGCCAUUUUAUGGCUGCAUAAAAGUUGGGAGCAUUAACAUUUUUUCCCUGAGGUUAAUUUUUACAUGAGAUAAAUCAAGGACUUUUUAUGGUUUCCAUGCAGCUUGCUGUUGUCAUUGUCUUUGGCUGCCUGUGCUGUGGCAGAUGGAGGAACUGUGAAAUUUUAAACUCUGAGUACUUUGGUUUGAUUUUAUUACAUUCUUUGGGUUCAUGAUCAUCUACAGAGCUAACUGGUGGCAUAUUUAUGGGCAUUUUUUGGAGAAGUUGUUUUAUAACUGGAGAUAUUUAAGUUGGUGCUCAGGAGGUCAGUGUUAUCAGGCUUCUUUAUCUCUAUGUCUUUAUAUCAUGUCUGUUGGGCACUUAUAUAGACCUUUGUAAGUGUAGCUUUCUUGCUGUAUCUCUG
rnacentral:lncRNA from 1 species